UACGAAGGGGGCUAGCGUUGUUCGGAAUUACUGGGCGUAAAGCGCGCGCAGGCGGUUCUUCAAGUCAGAGGUGAAAGCCCAGAGCUCAACUCUGGAAUGGCCUUUGAGACUAGAGAACUAGGGUACGGGAGAGGUGAGUGGAAUUCCGAGUGUAGGAGGUGAAAUUCGUAGAUAUUCGGAAGAACACCAGUGGCGAAGGCGGCUCACUGGCCCGUUACCGACGCUCAGGCGCGACAGCGUGGGGAGCAAACAGGG
rnacentral:rRNA from 1 species